GGGAAACGGGGGGAACUGGGGAAACGGGGACGCGGAGGGGUAACCGGGGGAAGACGGGGAAGUGGGGUGCAGGGAAGUUUGCGUGGGGUGGGCCAAGGAUCACCUUGGACAUCUGGAGCCUGGCAGGAGCGGACUCACAGAGGGGCUGGCUUGGGGAGGGCCGCGGGGCGCCCGGGAGCCUUUUGGGGAUCAUUUUUUGCUCCCGGGCGCCCCGCAGGCCGGGUAACAUCUGCGUGGGAGGGUGAAAGACCCAAGCUAGCAGCGCGGAGAAGAAGAGGGGGGAGCCAGGCAUUCAUCCCGGUCAAUUUUGGUUUCAGAUCGUGGCGACUGGUGGACAGGGGUCUUGACAGAGGCUCGCCCUGGGGCUGGGGCAGCGGAGGCGUAGCUGGCAGCCGUGGGCAGGUGAAGACAGCGCUCUGCCGGCCAGGUGAGUCCCCUUCUCCUCGCUGGUCCUUGCUCUCCUGGUCUCCUGCAGAAGGAGGUUCUGGGGAGCGCGGGCCAGCGAGGUGGAGAGGCUGGCCUCCCGGCAGAGCAGGACGCAGGCUGGUCAGGCAGCACAGGUGAUAUCGUCUCAGGGGAGCUGAGACAGGGCGGGCUGGGGGCCGCGGGAUGGGGUGCCGCGGGCUGCCCCAGGUGGCAAGGGCAUUUCCAGAGAGCCAGGCGGGAGCUUAGCAGGCAGGGCUGCCAGCACGUGUAGGGGGCACUCAGGCCCCCGGGGCGAGCAGGACAGGGUGGGGACUCAGGACAGAGGGGUUCCCAGCCGCCACUUCACCCACUGUAAUUCACUUAGUAGUAGGUCACAGGAGCGGCUCCGGCCAGGCGUUCUCAGGCCUGAGCCAGAGCCUCGAGGGCCGGAGAAUGAGAGAGAAGGCAGCGCAGUGCGCGGGCAACCGCGGCGGGAUGUCAUCUGGGGGGCGGUGGCCGCGGGACAGGCCCGGAGAGAUACCUGCAGCAGGGAGGCUGCGCGGGCCCAGCCCGUGGACGCCAGCCCCACGCAGCACUGCGGCCCGGGAGCCACGCGGGAGGGCCCCAGUGCACUUGGGGACACUGGGGACACUUGACCCGAACCGCUGGCCCUUGGGAUGGGCAUGAGAGAUAGAACAGCACCCAGGGGAGUCAAGGACACGGGCGAGACCAGGCAGGGGCGAGGGGCCAGAGCCGGGCACCGAGCCAGUGGGAGGGGCAUUGGACUUCGAGCUCGUGGCCAAGGCGGGCCUCUGCGGGCGAUGACGGAGCGGGAUCGGUGCCUCUGAGCUCGGAACGGAGACGGAGCCACGUCUCCAGUGGGGUGUUGGUGCCUGCCAGCCACGGAGGCCGGGCGGCCAGGACGCGCACAGAGGGAUAUGAUAUGGUCCGGUGUGAUGGAGAGAGCAGGCGGGACCGUCCAGCCUCCCAGGACACUGGCCCCGCGGGGAGCCCGGAUAUCGACGUUCCUUUAGUCUCCUGACGGAGCAGACACACCACUGCUGCUCUUCAGACACCCAGAACCCUCAAGAUGACAAGAGAUGGUGCUACCCAGCUCAUGCCUGGGACUUGGAACACGGACUUCUUCAAGUCUUCUAGCUCUGACUCAAGAAUAUGCUGCAUUUUGGAACCACUACACACCCUAACUCAGGAAUCAGCUCUGGAAGGUUGACCUAAAGGAACGGACGACCCACACCACCGGAAGAGCAGCCCCCGCGGCGACACCCACCCCGGCCCGGCGACUCCAUCUCUGCGGCCCCCCCCUGCCUCAGCCCCGAGACCACCGACAGCCUCCCUCCCUCCUUUUCCUCCUUUUCUGACUCUAUUUUCUGAUCUUCUCUCUGCUAUCCUUUGCUCAGGAGACUCAGAGCCUCCAGAGCCCCGUUCUCCCCGUCCCCCUUGAAUCAAUUUGCACUAAAAGUCGUUUGCACUGGUUGGGGCUCUGGAGCCAGCCCUGGUCUCUGAGCGUGUGUAAGCGCGCGUGUGUGCACACUGCUGAAUGUGUAGGCCUCCUUGGCCCGUGCCCCCGCCCAGCACCCUUCCCACACUUGCGGGUGCCUGGGAGGGGGCCCGAGUGGGGGGGCCCGCGUGUGAGGGGCCCCGCCCGCCCGCACCGAGUCUGGAGGCUCCGAACAUCAGGAGCACACACCAAGCAUGAACGUGUGUCCAUCUUGCCUAGUGUCCCUCCCUGCCAGGGCCUCCUCAGAUGCCCUGGACUCAUCAAUAAACUCAGUUACAGGAAUUUGUCUCAGGACUCUUGCAUUUGGGA
ensembl:lncRNA